rnacentral:ncRNA from 2 species
AGGAAACCGCGAUAGACUAGCUCCGUCGUUACAAGCGAACGGGGAUUUACGGAAGCCGGUGCAAAUCCGGCGCGGCCCCGCCACUGUGACGGGCAGCUGUAGCGGCUCGAUGCCACUGGGUGUGAUCACCCGGGAAGGCGGGCCGCUCGCCCGGAGCCAGGAGACGUCUUCGUUCGCGCCACCUGUA